UACAACUUUUUAGAGGGAAUAUUCGAACGUCAUUUUUGAGGAAUUUUGACAGCCCUAAUGGAUAGGGCUAUUUGAUGCAGCUGACAUUGACCUUUCUUUAUGGAACGAACAUGGCAGCGGGCAAGAGUUGUCUCCUUUAGAUCAUUCAACACCAUCUUCCCUCACGGACACCAUAUCACUUUCUUCAAGUGACAGUGACCUUCGAGAACUGGGUAUUACCACAGGCAGAAAUAGAUCCAGCAAAGAAGACAUGAGCAGUUCUGCAACAAAGGCUUCCGUGUCAGAGGCGGCAAAGGAGAUGGUAGAAAAGUCCUUGCUUAAGAAGCCUGGAGGAGAGGACAUUCUUGAAGAGUACAAGUGAGAAAAUUCACUAAUGCACCGC